rnacentral:rRNA from 1 species
GAUGAACGCUGGCGGCGUGCCUAAUACAUGCAAGUCGAGCGAACGGACGAGAAGCUUGCUUUUCUGAUGUUAGCGGCGGACGGGUGAGUAACACGUGGAUAACCUACCUAUAAGACUGGGAUAACUUCGGGAAACCGGAGCUAAUACCGGAUAAUAUUUUGAACCGCAUGGUUCAAAAGUGAAAGACGGUCUUGCUGUCACUUAUAGAUGGAUCCGCGCUGCAUUAGCUAGUUGGUAAGGUAACGGCUUACCAAGGCAACGAUGCAUAGCCGACCUGAGAGGGUGAUCGGCCACACUGGAACUGAGACACGGUCCAGACUCCUACGGGAGGCAGCAGGAGGGAAUCUUCCGCGAUGGGCGAAAGCCUGACGGAGCAACGCCGCGUGAGUGAUGAAGGUCUUCGGAUCGUAAAACUCUGUUAUUAGGGAAGAACAUAUGUGUAAGUAACUGUGCACAUCUUGACGGUACCUAAUCAGAAAGCCACGGCUAACUACGUG